rnacentral:rRNA from 1 species
GCCACCAAUCAUAUCACCCUGCAGCUCUCAACUGGCUACCCACUGAAGCUAAGCAGGGUUGAGCCUGGUCAGUCCCUGGAUGCGAGACCUCCUGGGAAGCUAUGGUUGCUGCUGGAA